AUAAAAAUAAUGCAUUGUAUGCCGGAAGGGAUAAAUCUGGGGCUGAGUACAAGCAAAACAAGACCAAAGGAAGCUACCUGAGCAGGUAUUCCAGAUACUCAUGUCAUACACCAAGGUUGUACCAGUGCCCCUUUCUCUGUGACACAUCCAUCCACUGGAAACUUUCGUACAACUAGCUGAAAGAAGAGAAACAUCCUAUUUCAUGUCACUGGAGCCCUAAUGAUCGCAGCCAUUUCAGGAAAUGCCAUCAAUUACAGUGAGGAGCUCAUUCAGAAGUGAAAGAUGAGUUCCAUUCUCUGUUACUUAGAGGGUGGAUAUCCUCCUCCACUGAAUGCAAACUAUUAAGUAAUGAAAAGACAGCACUCCAAGCAAUAUAGAUUUAUAGGCCAACCUGGCAAUCAAGGGUAACUGACAUGAAAAUGGAUUGCUUCACAUUUUAAUUACAAAGAUACUCUUCAGUACCAUAAAUUGAAGAAAACACUAACUUUUUGUGGCUACUGUAAUUGUCAAAGUAUAAUUACCUGUGUUUUCUCACCUACGUAUUUGAGAUAGAGACAAAACCAAGUAAGUUAAUCCACUUAUAAUAAAAAUGUCUUCUGAGAAUAUA
rnacentral:lncRNA from 1 species